rnacentral:rRNA from 1 species
CUACGAAAGGGGGCUAGGCGUUGCUCGGAAUCACCUGGGCGUUGAAAGGGUGCGAUAGGCGGGGUCUUUAAGUUCAGGGGGUGAAAUCCUGGAGCUCAAACUCCAGAACUGCCCUUUGAUACUGAAGAUCUUGAGUUCGGGAGAGGUGAGUGGAAGCUGCGAGUGUAGAGGUGAAAUUCGUAGAUAUUCGCAAGAACACCAGUGGC